rnacentral:rRNA from 1 species
GACGAACGCUGGCGGCGUGCUUAACACAUGCCAGUCGAACGGAAAGGCCCUGCUUUUGUGGGGUGCUCGAGUGGCGAACGGGUGAGUAACACGUGAGUAACCUGCCCUUGACUUUGGGAUAACUUCAGGAAACUGGGGCUAAUACCGGAUAGGAGCUCCUGCUGCAUGGUGGGGGUUGGAAAGUUUCGGCGGUUGGGGAUGGACUCGCGGCUUAUCAGCUUGUUGGUGGGGUAGUGGCUUACCAAGGCUUUGACGGGUAGCCGGCCUGAGAGGGUGACCGGCCACAUUGGGACUGAGAUACGGCCCAGACUCCUACGGGAGGCAGCAGUGGGGAAUAUUGCACAAUGGGCGGAAGCCUGAUGCAGCAACGCCGCGUGUGGGAUGACGGCCUUCGGGUUGUAAACCGCUUUCGCCUGUGACGAAGCGUGAGUGACGGUAAUGGGUAAAGAAGCACCGGCUAACUACGUG